CUUGAUUGCAGAUGGAUGUCAGCUUUGCCUGCUCAGAGACACUCCCACCAGCCAAGAGCCAAGCCUGAAAAACAAAAACAGAGGGGGACAAACACAAGAGGGAGACAACGUCUCCAGGCCUUGCAUCGCACAUAACAGAACUCCUUCUGAAACAACCAGCCACACCAACGCGUGUACUCCAAAAGGUACUGCUGGAGCCAAAAGGCGCAAUGCUUUGGUCUGCCAGUGGCAUCAAUAUAUUUCAGGAGAGGUGCAAAGAGGAUAUUGUCUAUAUUGAUGCCACUGGCAGCCUCCUGCAUCGCCAAGAGGGGCGUCUGUAUUAUAUCUACGAGUUGGUGGUGCGUCAUCCCAAGAAGGGCUGCUCCCCACUAGCUGUGGCCUCCUAUGUAUCGUCGGAGCAAACAACUGCCUCAGUCACAUACUUUUGAUGGCAUUCCUGACUGAUGUCAAAAAACAUCAUGGCACCAACAGCACCAAGCCCAUCAUGCUGAUGUGUGAUGGGUCCAUGGUCCUAAUGCAGGCUAUCUGUCUGUCCUUCAUGAACAAGUCCCUUCCUGACGUACUGGCCAGCUACUAUAGGAUAGUUACCGGGAAGGCCACACAGGAGGACCUGACAACUCCAAUACUCCAUAGGUGCCUGUCACACAUAAUGUGGAACGCCAAAGACAUGUGCAGAAAAUGUGCACCAGGCCACUACACCUUGGCGAUGCAUAUUGUUGGAAUGUUCACCACUGCUAGCAUUAUGUUGGAACUUGAUGACAUGGUGACCAGCGCAGCAGUGGUGUUCUGCAGUCCCUGUGUGGGUAAAAAUGUUGCUCACCAUUUCCAACAUAUCCAGACCCUGCUAAUGGCCAUGCCAUCAAGCCCCAAGGAGGCCAAAGACACAGGAGAUGACUUUGAGGACUACCAUGCCGAAACGGAUUGGGGUUGCCACUUUGUGGAGGUUGUGGCAAGGGCCCCACAUGACAACGAAGGGGAGCCCAACCCCGACAGGGCCGAAGCUCUGAUACUCCACCUGCAAAGGUACAUGCUGCUUUAUGCAGGCUUGUGGAGUAGAGUAAUGCUUGGGGACCUUGGCAGGCAGGGGAAGGGCCCGAAUUACAGGCAGGCCUCACAAAAGCACCACAAUCUUAAAAGGCUUGCCAGACAAGUAACUCGAUCACAUAAGACAAAUGAGAACAUAAUGAAAGGUCAGAAUCAUGCUGAAAUUUGCACCUCUGAACUUUCUGCAGAACAUGACGACCCACAAUAA
rnacentral:lncRNA from 1 species